AGUGAACGCUGGCGGUAGGCCUAACACAUGCAAGUCGAACGGCAGCACCGUAAGAGCUUGCUCUUACGGGUGGCGAGUGGCGGACGAGUGAGGAAUACAUCGGAAUCUACUUUUUCGUGGGGGAUGACGUAGGGAAACUUACGCUAAUACCGCAUACGACCUACGGGUGAAAGCAGGGGAUCUUCGGACCUUGCGCGAUUGAAUGAGCCGAUGUCGGAUUAGCUAGUUGGCGGGGUAAAGGCCCACCAAGGCGACGAUCCGUAGCUGGUCUGAGAGGAUGAUCAGCCACACUGGAACUGAGACACGGUCCAGACUCCUACGGGAGGCAGCAGUGGGGAAUAUUGGACAAUGGGCGCAAGCCUGAUCCAGCCAUACCGCGUGGGUGAAGAAGGCCUUCGGGUUGUAAAGCCCUUUUGUUGGGAAAGAAAAGCAGCAGGUUAAUACCCCGCUGUUCUGACGGUACCCAAAGAAUAAGCACCGGCUAACUUCGUG
rnacentral:rRNA from 1 species